rnacentral:rRNA from 1 species
UGGGGAAUAUUGGACAAUGGGCGAAAGCCUGAUCCAGCCAUGCCGCGUGUGUGAAGAAGGUCUUCGGAUUGUAAAGCACUUUAAGUUGGGAGGAAGGGUUGUAGAUUAAUACUCUGCAAUUUUGACGUUACCGACAGAAUAAGCACCGGCUAACUCUGUGCCAGCAGCCGCGGUAAUACAGAGGGUGCAAGCGUUAAUCGGAAUUACUGGGCGUAAAGCGCGCGUAGGUGGUUAGUUAAGUUGGAUGUGAAAUCCCCGGGCUCAACCUGGGAACUGCAUUCAAAACUGACUGACUAGAGUAUGGUAGAGGGUGGUGGAAUUUCCUGUGUAGCGGUGAAAUGCGUAGAUAUAGGAAGGAACACCAGUGGCGAAGGCGACCACCUGGACUGAUACUGACACUGGGGUGCGAAAGCGUGGGGAGCAAACA